rnacentral:rRNA from 1 species
GACGAACGCUGGCGGCGUGCUUAACACAUGCAAGUCGAACGGAAAGGCCCUGCUUUUGUGGGGUGCUCGAGUGGCGAACGGGUGAGUAACACGUGAGUAACCUGCCCUUGACUUUGGUAUAACUUCAGGAAACUGGGGCUAAUACCGGAUAGGAUCUCCUGCUGCAUGGUGGGGGUUGGAAAGUUUCGGCGGUUGGUGAUGGACUCGCGGCUUAUCAGCUUGUUGGUGGGGUAGUGGCUUACCAAGGCUUUGACGGGUAGCCGGCCUGAGAGGGUGACCGGCCACAUUGAGACUGAGAUACGGCCCAGACUCCUACGGGAGGCAGCAGUGGGGAAUAGUGCAAAAUGGGCGGAAGCCUGAUGCAGCAACGCCGCGUGCGGGAUGAAGGCCUUUGGGUUGUAAACCGCGUUCGCCUGUGACGAAGCGUGAGUGACGGUAAUGGGUAAAGAAGCACCGGCUAACUACGUG